GAGAUAAGUGCUGAAAGCAUCUAAGCACGAAACUUGCCCCGAGAUGAGUUCUCCCUGACCCUUUAAGGGUCCUGAAGGAACGUUGAAGACGACGACGUUGAUAGGCCGGGUGUGUAAGCGCAGCGAUGCGUUGAGCUAACCGGUACUAAUGAACCGUGAGGCUUAACCUUACAACGCCGAAG
rnacentral:rRNA from 1 species